UACGAAGGGGGCUAGCGUUGCUCGGAAUCACUGGGCGUAAAGCGCACGUAGGCGGAUUCUUAAGUCGGUGGUGAAAGCCUGGAGCUCAACUCCAGAACUGCCUUCGAUACUGAGAGUCUUGAGUCCGGGAGAGGUGAGUGGAACUGCGAGUGUAGAGGUGAAAUUCGUAGAUAUUCGCAAGAACACCAGUGGCGAAGGCGGCUCACUGGCCCGGUACUGACGCUGAGGAGCGAAAGCCAGGGGAGCAAACGGG
rnacentral:rRNA from 1 species